GGCCUAUCGAUUUUUAUUUUAGGUCUGGCCUGCUCGAUGAGGAUUUAAAUGGCCGCGGUAUACUGACCGUGCAAAGGUAGCAUAAUCAUUAGUUUUUUUAUUGAAAGCUAGAAUGAAAGGUUUGAUGAAGAAGAUACUGUCUCUUUGAAAAUUUAUUAGAACUUUAUUUUUAGGUUAAAAAGCUUAAAUUUAAAUAGAAGACGAGAAGACCCUAUAGAGUUUAAUGUUUUUUGAGAUUUAAAAUAUUAGGUUUAAAAUUGGAUUAGAUUUUUUAAAACAUUUUGUUGGGGAGACAAGUAAAUUUGAUUAACUUUAUUUUUAAUAAAACAUUAGUUUAUGAAAAUAUGAUCCUUUAAUUGAGAUUUUAAGAAUAAAUUACCUUAGGGAUAACAGCGUAAUUUUUUAUAGAGUUCUAAUCGAAUAAAAAGUUUGCGACCUCGAUGUUGGAUUAAAAUAAAUUGUUGAUGCAGAAGUUAAUUAAUUGGGUCUGUUCGACCUCUGGGAUUUUACAUGAUCUGAGUUUAAACCGGCGUGAG
rnacentral:rRNA from 1 species